rnacentral:rRNA from 1 species
UACAGAGGGGGCAAGCGUUGUUCGGAAUUACUGGGCGUAAAGGCGCGUAGGCGGCCUGUUAAGUCGGACGUGAAAUCCCUCGGCUCAACCGGGGAACUGCGUCCGAUACUGGGUGGCUUGAAUCCGGGAGAGGGAUGCGGAAUUCCAGGUGUAGCGGUGAAAUGCGUAGAUAUCUGGAGGAACACCGGUGGCGAAGGCGGCAUCCUGGACCGAGACUGACGCUGAGGAGCGAAAGCCAGGGGAGCAAACGGG